rnacentral:rRNA from 1 species
UGCGUAGGCGGCCAAAUAAGUCAGAGGUGAAAUCCUACAGCUUAACUGUAGAACUGCCUUUGAAACUGUAUGGCUAGAAUAAAGUUGAGGUUAGCGGAAUGUGACAUGUAGCGGUGAAAUGCAUAGAUAUGUCAUAGAACACCAAUUGCGAAGGCAGCUAACUGGGCUUUUAUUGACGCUGAGGCACGAAAGCGUGGGGAGCGAACAGGAUUAGAUACCCUGGUAGUCC